rnacentral:rRNA from 1 species
AUGCCAUGCCUCAUUAAACCGGACAUGCAUCAUACUUGUUUGCGCAUCAUGCCAUGUUUAUGUGAUGUUUGUUUACUAUGUUGUUUGUUUCUUUCUGGGUUGCUUCUCUCGUUAGCUUCGGUUUCGUUCUGGAGUUGUGAGGAUUCGUUCGUCUUCGUCCGUUUGUCUUCUUCAUGGACUCUUUCUUCUUCCUUGCGGGAUCUCAGGCAAGAUGAUCAUACCCUCGAAAUCACUACUAUCUUUGCUAUGCUAGUUUGCUCGCUCUUUUGCUAUGCCAAUGCUAUGAUGCCUACCAUUUGCUUGUCAGCCUCCCAAAUUGCCAUGUCAAACCUCUAA